rnacentral:lncRNA from 1 species
ACACCUGGAUAAUUUUGUAUUUUUAGUAGAGACAGGGUUUCUCCAUGUUGGUCAGGUUGGUGUCGAACUCCCGACCUCAGGUGAUCCACCUGCCUCAGUCUCCCAAAGUGUUGGGGUUACAGGUGUGAGCCACUGUGCCUGGCCGUAUUUCAUCUCAUAUAUUGAUUUUACCUCAUUCACCCUGCUCCAGGCACUCCGACCUUCUCUCAAUUUUUUUUAAGUUUUUUAUAUUUAUUUAUUUUUAUUUAGCGAUGAGGGCUAAGUAUGUUGUACAAGAUGGAGUGUAGUGGCUAUUCACAAGUGCGCUCAUAGGGUACUGCAGACUCGAGCUCUUGGCCUAAAGCAAUCCUCCUGCCAAGCCUCCCAAGUAGCUAAGACUACAGGCACAUGACACCACACCCAGCUUCUUUCAAUUUCUUGAUCAAGCCAAGCUUUUUCACAAUGUAAGAGCUCUUGCCCCUCUUUCCCUCCUUCCUUCCUCCCUCCUUCCCUCCCUCUUUCCUUCCUUUUUUCCCCUUCCUUCCUUCCUUCCUUCCUCCUUCCCUCCCUCCCUCUCUCCCUUUCUUCCUUCUUUCUUCCUUCCUUUCUUUCUUUCCUUCCUUCCUACUUUUUUUCUUCCUUCCUUCUUUCUCCUUCCUUCCUUCCUUUCUUCUUUCUCCUUCCUUCCUUCCUUCUUUUCACCAGUGUCAUAGUAAGCACUUACUUUUAAUUUUAACCUAGUGAGUGAACCAAGCACUUAAAUUUACUCUAAGUGCAAUGGAAACCUAUAGACAAGUUUUUAAUCAGGAAAAUGAUAUAAAUUGAUUUAAACUUUCAAAAGAUCUCUCCUGACUCUGAAUGGACUAUAGAUUAUAAGGGGAUAAGAAUGAAAGUACUGUGACUAAUUAGGAGGCGUUUUCAGCAAUUCAAUGAGAGAUGACAAUGGCUUGUAUCACGGUAGAAGUAGUGCCAACGGUGAGAAGUACUCAGAGAUGAGAAAUAUUUUGGAGGUCGGGUGCGGUGGCUCACGCCUGUAAUCCCAGCACUUUGGGAGGCU